UGCCUUGGCAAUGGGCAAAGAAACACCUUGUUGGUGGUGUUGCUCUUAUAUUAGUCAGCGGCACAGCAGAUGAAGUCCUUUGUUCAUCCCAGCUCGAUGCAUGGCUUGAUGGCUAAAGUUGUUUUAUGCAUAGGAUACAUAA